rnacentral:rRNA from 1 species
UACGUAGGGAGCAAGCGUUGUCCGGAAUCAUUGGGCGUAAAGCGCGCGUAGGCGGCCCUGUAAGUCCGUUGUGAAAGUCAAAGGCUCAACCUUUGAAUGCCGAUGGAUACUGCAGGGCUAGAGUCCGGAAGAGGAGAGUGGAAUUCCCGGUGUAGCGGUGAAAUGCGCAGAUAUCUGGAGGAACACCGGUGGCGAAGGCGACGCCUGGACCGGCAUUGACGCUGAGGCGCGAAAGCCAGGGGAGCAAACGGG